AGCAAGCCAGGAAGGAGGAGGCAGCCAGAGUGGCCACCACUGGUCUCUGCAGCAGAAGACCCCUUGCUGCCAGGGAUGACGGAACAUCUAUGUACUUACAGCUAAUGGAUAGUGCAAGUAUGUCAAUAUAAUUGCUACUGGGAAAGGAAGCUACAGCAGCCACAGUCUUGCAAGAGAUUGAUCUGAGGACUGUUCCCCCUCAACUUUAAUAUUGAGAACAGCUCCAGCAGUGCAACUGCGGUCAGGUGACAAGGGUAUCUGCCCUGCAUGAAGCUUGGACGGGUUGGGUUCAAUAGCUUUGAGACAGGAGAUGCUACCAGUAGCUUAUAACAGGAUGCUUGUUUCUGCUUCUAUCCCUGGAUAUUCCUCUCCAAGUGAUCCAAAGGAUCUAUCUGGACACUGCUAUUUCUGCAGAAUUAGUCAUAUAAUAAAAGCUCCCACCGUUUCGUCACACAGUUGA